UCUAAUUGAAGGGAUUGUUACUGUUGGUGAAUGGCUGGGGAAUUAAUUAGUGGAGGGCAAACCAGUUCAUAAAUGCCUGCUUUGUAAGGGGUCCUCGCGUUCUGGGUACCUCGACUCCUGUGGCCAGCUCUGCCCCAGGAACCCGUGCCAGCAAAUAGUAUUUAUUAUCCGUGUCGGCUUCACCUGGAGAUGGGCUUCCCUGCCUUCCGCCGCACAGCCAGGUUUGUUUCUUUCGGGCGCAGCAGGCAUUAUGGGAAAAACUCCCCCGGAUCUUCUGGAUCCUGCUCCCACCGCCUGACUUAGUUUAUGAAGAAAAGCUUCAUUUUCAAGCCAGAGAUGGAGACAGGAGUGCAAGCUUCACACAGCCCACGCCGCCGUUCCCAGUUUGUAUGCAGGUUCAAACACGUGCUCACGUGUGCACCGCAGCAACACCAUGUGCAUACACACAGCUGUUCAGAUCUUUCUCAAGCAGUGUGCAACCAACUCCAAACCCAGUUCUAUGUGGAAAGUCGACACUUCAGGUUCCUCUGCCACCACAUAACAGCACAGGCUGGUGCCCAAGCCUUUGACACAGGGCCUUUGGAGGACACAAAUUCAAACAACCCAUUCACCCACUGUGUGUUGAGUGUUGUUUGUGGAUAUAGACAUUAGUUUGGUAUCGAUCAUAUGAAAUGAAGGAGGAAGCAUAAUUCUUGCUCUCCAGAAGUUCUUAGUCAAGUGAGUCAAAGACUACAACAUCUAAAUCAUCAAUUAUACACCGUGAUUGAUGCUAUGAAAAUCUGCAAAGGCCUGUCACUCAAGCAUCCUACAGCCCACAUGCCAGUUCCAAUCCGUGUCAUCUUUUUGUUCGUGUGUCACCGCAUUGGCUUAACCAGAAGAUGGAUGCUGAUGGGGGAAGAGAUGUGGCACUGGGAUGAAAGAGUGUUCUUCCCUAGAGAAGUUUCUGCCGAGCAUGAACAUGUCUGCCUGAAUAUUGAAAACGAGGAGAGACAUUUAGUGCACACCCCGCGCCGGGGGUGUGAUGCAUUUGACUCCAAGCAGAGAGCAUCUCAGAGUCAGAAACUGCUUGCUCCCCCAUGGGCAGAAGUGAUGCCUUCCAGAAAAGCCGUCUCCAAAUUUGUGCACAAAUCAACAGCUUGGAUGGAGGCCAAGAAGCAAGCUCACUCCUUCACUGCCGAGUUAUUUAAGCAUUUAAUGCUUCAGGCAUGAGAGGCUGUGCGUGAGCUGCCCUGUGAACGCUGUGUUGAGUACACUGGGUAGGAAAUGACCUGGCUCACACACACAGAAAGCAAGCCGAGUCGUUCCUUUGGAUCGUGGACCUUUGGGCUAAGACUAGACCCUAGGUUUCCUAAGCAGACCUUAGGAGGCCAUUCUGCUUUUGCAAUAAACAUCAUUUGAGAGCCUACUAUGUGCCAAGCAUAGAUGAAGAAAAGUUAACAAGUCAGCAUACAGUCUGCCCUCCAACCCCAAGGAUUCUAAAGCAACAGAUUCAAAAAAAUCCUGUAUCAAAAAUAAUUGAAAUCUGGCUCAGUGGGUAAAGGUGCUUGCUGCUAAGACUGAUAGCCUGAGUUUGAUCUCCUGGGACCCACAUGGUGGAAAAGAGAAUUAAUCCAUAAAGUUGUCCUCAGACAUUCAUACAUGCACACACACAUAUGAACACACACAGAGAAGCAUGGGAAUUAAAAAUUAAAAGAAUAAGAAUUGGGAAAGUGUGCCUUUACUGAACACGUUCACACAUUUUCUCUUCCAGGUAUUCCCUAAGCAGUACAGCAUAAUAAUUAUUUCCAUGGCAUUUACUUUGUGUCGGGUAUUGCAAGUGAUCCAGAGCUUGUUUAAAGUGUGCGGGAGGAUGUGUAUAAUAGGUUCUAGGCAAACACUGCAUCAUUUUAAAUAAGUACCUGCAGAUUUGGGUACCCACAGCAGGGAGGAGGGUCUCCUGGAGUCUGUCCCCUGUGGCUGCUCAGCUGGAAUCAGUUCUCACCUUCCACCAUGUGGGUUCCAGGGAUCUAAUUUAGGUCGUUAGGCUUGGUGGCAAGCUCUUUUGUCUGCUGAGCCAACUUCACAGCAUGACAAACAGUACUGUAGAAGCACAUGCAGAAGACGGGCUGAAAGCACCAAUUGCUCUUGCAGAGGCCCCAAGUUUGGUCUCCUGUGCCUACGAGAUGGCUCACAGUAGUUCCAGGGAAUCUAACACCCUCUUCUGGCCUCCCUCCAUGGGCACCUAUCUGCAUACAUGUGGUGCACACAAAUUCAUGCGGGCACACACACAUGAAAAUAAUAAUUUUUUUAAAAAAGGAAAGAGAGAAAUACAUGUAAAAUACCAUCGGAGACAAGUCUUGGAAGAUGUUUCCCAGAGUAGAGGGCAGAUGAGGAAGGUGGAAAUCAAGAUUCAAGUACAGCACACGAAGCUGAUUAUGCAGAAGCAAAAACCCUAGCUGCAAACGUGGGAGCAUCGGAAACUCCUUUCCCUUUUGUUCCUGAUUGCACCAAGUUGACUCCUUGGUUUUCAUCGUUUCUAAAACCAUCUCUGUACAUGAUGAGGAUGCAGGGAGAAAGGAACCCCUACACACUGCUGACAAGGGUUUAAAGCAGUCCAGUUAUUGUGGAAAUCAGGGUGGAGGUUCCUCAAAGAACUGAAAGUAGAAUUACCAUAUGAUCCAGCUGUCCCACUCCUGAGGACAGUCCAAGUCAGCUGACCACGAAGAUGCUUAUUGACUGCAUUGACUGUGACCUGUUCACAGUGGCCACAUCAUAGCCUCAGCCUCGGUGUCCAUUGUAGGGAGCAAGUGAAGUCCCCACCAGUGAAGUUCUGAAUGAACGUGUAUUUGACUUGAGCUGGCCAUGUCAAGGACCAGGAGCUCUGACCCAUGGGAAACUGGAAAAGCUUCCCAUUUCUCCCAGUCAGGCUCAGAAAGUGUUUAUGAACGAUUGACCCGGUGUGUGCAAAAACUAGCAACUGCAGCCUCCUGAGACUGUUCAACUCCGGUCACCUUCUACCAGGACUGGCGAGCCCCUCCCCCGUGCUGUAUAUAAUAAGCACACUGAGGUUUCUGGUUGUUGUUUGGUGGUUAGUGCCACUCCAUCAGAGUGCACACAGCUUUUCUGUACAUGCGUCUGUGUGCCUGUAUGUCUGUCCUUUCUUCAUUCCCUCACCAGCCCUAGUCAGGUGAACAAAGCAGUCUGUCAACAUACCAGUGGAUAAGGAGAUGUGGUAUGUGUGUCCAGUGGUUUCAUUUAGCAGUGAAGAGCAAAACUGUCAUUUUCAGGAAAAAUGUAUGGAACUAGAAAAUAUCAUGUUAAGAGAAAUAAGCCAGACCUAGAAAGGCAUAUACCACAUGCUUACUCUAGUAUAUAGACACCCCGCCCCCCCCCUUUUUUUUUCUUUAAGACAUGAAAGUGGAAGGGGAGCUGUCUGGAAAGACAUCAGUGGAGGGUGGGAAGAGGGUGACAGAACAUGAACAAGGAUGCUGUGUACAUGUAUAGACAGGUCAUAUGGAAAUGGUAUUUUGUAUAAUAAAAAUAUUUUUAAAUGCAACUUUAAAAAUAAGGAAGUCAUCUUUCCACACUCAGCUUUUAAAUGGCCUUUAAAUUUAGCCAUCUUUAU